rnacentral:lncRNA from 1 species
UUUAUCUUAAAUUAAGUGAAAGAAUAAUGAAAUACCAUGUCAAAUUUUUCCAAAAAGUACACGUCAAUGACAAAAUAUCUUCGUUAUUUGCAUCGCCAGAGAUCAAACAGUUUUCUUGAGUUUCAACUGCGAAAAUAACAAUUUACUGUUAAUUUAAUAAAUGUAAACCAUGUUAUAAAAUUAUUAUAUUAUAAAA